rnacentral:rRNA from 1 species
UGGGGAAUUUUGGACAAUGGGGGCAACCCUGAUCCAGCCAUGCCGCGUGAGUGAAGAAGGCCUUCGGGUUGUAAAGCUCUUUCGGCCGGGAAGAAAUCGUGGUCUCUAACAUAGGCCAUGGAUGACGGUACCGGACUAAGAAGCACCGGCUAACUACGUGCCAGCAGCCGCGGUAAUACGUAGGGUGCGAGCGUUAAUCGGAAUUACUGGGCGUAAAGCGUGCGCAGGCGGUUUUGUAAGACAGAUGUGAAAUCCCCGGGCUUAACCUGGGAACUGCGUUUGUGACUGCAAGGCUAGAGUACGGCAGAGGGGGGUGGAAUUCCUGGUGUAGCAGUGAAAUGCGUAGAGAUCAGGAGGAACACCGAUGGCGAAGGCAGCCCCCUGGGCCUGUACUGACGCUCAUGCACGAAAGCGUGGGGAGCAAACA